GACGAACGCUGGCGGCGUGCUUAACACAUGCAAGUCGAACGAAGUGGCGAACGGGUGAGUAACGCGUAAUCAACCUGCCCUUCAGUGGGGGACAACAGUUGGAAACGACUGCUAAUACCGCAUAAUGAAGGAGGGGAUUGCGUCGGAUUAGCUAGUUGGAGGGGGAACGGCCCACCAAGGCGAUGAUCAGUAGCCGGUCUGAGAGAAUGGACGGCCACGUGGGGACUGAGACACGGCCAAGACUCCUACGGGAGGCAGCAGGGGGGAACCUUCCGAAAUGGACGAAAGUCUGACGGAGCAACGCGGCGUGAGUGAUGACGGCCUUCGGGUUGUAAAGCUCUGUUAAUCGGGACGCGUUACCGGAAUAGAAAGCCACGGCUAACUACGUGCCAGCAGCCGCGGUAAUAC
rnacentral:rRNA from 1 species